AACUAGUCCGAGAAAGUUAGAGGAUGGAAAAGAGUAGAAUGGUGCAAGAAAUUAUAGGAACUAAGAUUAGAAAAAGAGUCAAGGAAUUCUUAAUGGAGCUUUUAUAUACUAUGCUACAAAAAUUGAGUUUAUUCUGGAAAUAAUGACGAUGCAUCAAAAGGUUGAAAGUGGUUGGAGGAUAAAUUGGAUGGAACAUAAAAAUAUUUUUUAAUUGGAAAAUAUGAAAAUGAGGAGAAUCAUAAGGAGGGAUUCCAGGCAAGGAAAGCUUGUAUCCAAUGCAUGUUGCUGACAUUAUGCUCUGCAGAUUCUCAUUACACCAAGUUCUUCUGUGUUCAUCUGCUUCCUCAAGGCCAUUAUCCAUUACAUCUGUCUCAGCUCAGCUGAUGCUCUGGCAGUGGUUCUCUGCGUUGAGCAUUGCUGCCACACACCUUUGGUCUUUAAACCUGAACUGGAAUGAAGCUUAAACUGAAAUGUAGAGGGCAAAUGGUGUGCAAAACAAACUUUAAGUAGUAGUGAUUAAUCUUUCCAAUGAAUUUUUCUGUUUUUAGCCCAUUAAUUUUCAAUAAACAUUAAUGAAGUACUUAUCAUGUAUUAGCCACUAUGUUACCUCCAAAAAUAAAGAUGAUAGAUAAACGA
ensembl:lncRNA novel transcript